rnacentral:lncRNA from 1 species
AUCAACAAUUUAUGAUAUUUAUUGAGCACCUGCAAUGUGUCCAGCUUUGUGCUUGGUGAUGUGAAGGCAAGAGAUGUAAGGACCUGGUUUCUAAUCUUCAAAAAAGUCUACACUGUGGUUGAAGUGAAACACAAAGAGAGUUUUUGCCUCCGAAAUGACAAGCAGAGAACCACAAGGCAAUGUUGAGAUGCAGAGGGUGGCAGUUUCCCUCCUAGCAGAGUGACUCACUCAUGCCUCCACUCCAGGGUGCAGGGCUUAGAUUCAUGACAGGGACCUCAUCAAAUAACCAGGAAAGAUUAAUCACCUGAGAAGAGAAGAGACUGGGAAUCUUCACCCUGCCCAGACAGACUUUUCAUCUAUUCUCCUGAGAGCAGCUCCAAGAGAUUACCUGUGGGACUCAAUUUGCAUAAUAAGAUGACCUUUGUUCCUGUGCAGUUCCACCCCUCACCUUCCCAUAAUGUCUGCCUCCCACCUCCCAGAAAUCAUACUCAGUUGGUUUAAUGGUAGAGUUAAAGGCCAAAUCUGCCAUAUAGUUAAAGGCCAAAUCUGCCGUGAAGCCAGGAGAAAGGAUCCAGCAUACAAACCAUGACAGAAUACACACACAUUUUGGAGAUGCAUGCUUUCUCAAAGCUCUGAGGACCAUCAUGAAGACAUAUUAACUGAAAGAAUACAAAGCGAUGUGAAUAGUUCCUAACUAUUGGAGACUAUACAAGAAGCAUGACACCAAACUGUGGUUGUCUUCUGGUGAAGAUCUCAGAAGUUUCCACUCAUGGCAAAAGGUGAAGGGGAGCCAGCUCCUGUAAAGAUUACAUGGCAAGAGGAAGUGAGAGGGAGAGAGGAGAUACAAGUGAAAUCACAAUGACAUCAAUAAUCCUGAAUUUCUUCUUCACACUCACUCAUGAAAAGUCUCCGAUUUUCCCACCUUGCUCAGCCACCUUAAGUGCCUUCCUUCAAGAUAUUUCCUACUGCUUCUAAAGAGGAUCUCCCAUUGGCUUGGGAGCAGCGUGAGAAGAGACUUGUACACAGAGAGGCUGGGCAACUUGUACAUGGUUGCACAGAUGUCCAGAGGCAGUGCUGAGAUGUGAACACAGGAAGACUGGAUUCAGCAUCUGUGCUACUAACCAGGACACUAUGAAGUCUCUCAUACCUGUGGUACUAGGAAAAUCAGAGAAAAUUUCAAGGAGGGUGGGGCAUUAGAAGCUGACUAUGGAGGAACCGGUAGGAGUUGGAUGUUUGGAAAUAGAGGGCAGGGCAUUGCAGGUAGAGAAUGGGAGUGUAUUCUGGAUGCCAACACAUCUGUGGCGGUCCUAAGAUCAGGAAUAGAUGGUCUGUAUCUUCAGUAUGACUUAAUGUUUCUGAGUGUAAGACUUAAUCUCCAUUUGAAAAAGGAUAAAAAGAAGGAAAAAAA